AAUGGAAAGGCAAGGAAAACUUGAUAGAAUGCAUGCAUAUGGUUUGAAGCAGAGGCAGUUGUUCCAUCUUGUUCGAAAAAAGAUGGAUGGUUAUUUUGGUCAACUUGUGUUCAUGCAAUGAAAGCUACCUAUAAUAAUUUUUCAAUCAUUGACUCAUGCAACAAACUUAGACUUAAAAGAGUUAAAGUAACUAGAGAUAAAGAAGUAUGUGCAGGAUUUAAUUUCACAACUAAAGAGGACUCCAAAGAAGAAUUAAAGUUCUAGUGGAUCAAAGAUCAAGGAAUGAUUUGGUUUUAACUGGUUUGCAUCUUAUGAACGAAGUA